UAAGAGCCUGCCAAGGCGACGAUCGGUAGCUGGUCUGAGACGACGAUCAGCCACACUGGGAUUGAGAACGGCCCAUACUCCUACGGGGGGCAGCAGUGAGGAAUUUUCCGCAAUGGACGAAAGUCUGACGGAGCAACGCCGCGUGCAGGAGGACUCUUUUCGGAGUGUAAACUGCUUUUCUGUGGGAAGAGCAAGGACGGUACCACAGGAAGAAGCCCCCGGCUAACUACCUGCCAGCAGCCGCGGUAAUACGUAGGGGGCGAGCGUUGUCCGGAGUUUACUGGGCGUAAAGGGCCGUAGGCGGUUGCCUGCGUUUGUGGGUGACAGCCGGUCGGCUUAACUGACCGAGGGCCACGUAAGACGGCGCAGCUCGAGGGCCAGAGAAGGACACAGAACCUCCUGGUGGGAGUGAUGAAAAAG
rnacentral:rRNA from 1 species